rnacentral:rRNA from 1 species
GUGGGGAAUUUUGGACAAUGGGCGCAAGCCUGAUCCAGCAAUGCCGCGUGCAGGAAGAAGGCCUUCGGGUUGUAAACUGCUUUUGUACGGAACGAAACGGUCCUGGUUAAUACCCGGGGCUAAUGACGGUACCGUAAGAAUAAGCACCGGCUAACUACGUGCCAGCAGCCGCGGUAAUACGUAGGGUGCAAGCGUUAAUCGGAAUUACUGGGCGUAAAGCGUGCGCAGGCGGUGCUGUAAGACAGGCGUGAAAUCCCCGGGCUUAACCUGGGAAUUGCGCUUGUGACUGCAGUGCUGGAGUGCGGCAGAGGGGGAUGGAAUUCCGCGUGUAGCAGUGAAAUGCGUAGAUAUGCGGAGGAACACCGAUGGCGAAGGCAAUCCCCUGGGCCUGCACUGACGCUCAUGCACGAAAGCGUGGGGAGCAAACAGGAUUAGAAACCCGAGUAGUCC